rnacentral:rRNA from 1 species
UAGGGAAUCUUCGGCAAUGGACGAAAGUCUGACCGAGCAACGCCGCGUGAGUGAAGACGGUUUUCGGAUCGUAAAACUCUGUUGUUAGAGAAGAACAAGGACGUUAGUAACUGAACGUCCCCUGACGGUAUCUAACCAGAAAGCCACGGCUAACUACGUGCCAGCAGCCGCGGUAAUACGUAGGUGGCAAGCGUUGUCCGGAUUUAUUGGGCGUAAAGCGAGCGCAGGCGGUUUCUUAAGUCUGAUGUGAAAGCCCCCGGCUCAACCGGGGAGGGUCAUUGGAAACUGGGAGACUUGAGUGCAGAAGAGGAGAGUGGAAUUCCAUGUGUAGCGGUGAAAUGCGUAGAUAUAUGGAGGAACACCAGUGGCGAAGGAGGCUCUCUGGUCUGUAACUGACGCUGAGGCUCGAAAGCGUGGGGAGCAAACAGG